GCAGGAGUGGCGGAACGGCAGACGCGCUAUCUUGAGGGGGUAGUAAGCAAAGCUUGUGAGGGUUCAAAUCCCUUCUCCUGCACCA
rnacentral:tRNA from 3 species